AAAACUAGAAGAGGAAGAAACACUUUGCAAAUAAUUCUACAGAGCCAAUAUUAUGCUGAUGCCGAAACCAGGCAAAGACAUCUCAAGAAAAAGAGAGGUGGAAAGAAAGCACAUUCAUCAACAAGCAGAAUAACCCAGGCUCGUUCACAUGGUGAUGGAGUUCUCUGUCUCAGGUUGAGUUUCCCAGAAUCAAAUCUGGAGAGUGAAUAAACCUGUAGAACCAGCACACAGAUAAAGAGGAAGACGUGACACAUGAUCAUUGCCCUGGAAGACCCUUUGUGCCCUGACUCUGGCCGGUAUUCCCUCCUGUGACAACUACUAUCCUGACUCCUAAUAAUUUUAAUUGUUUGAUUUUUGACAAGUGGAACCAUAUAAUCUAUUCUCUUUUAUGACUGGCUUCUUGCUUGUAAUGCUAUGUUUUUGAUACCUAUCCACUUUGUUGUGUGUAGAUAUAAUUUGCUCAUUUUAAUUGCUAUACAUUAUUAAAUUGUAUGAAUAUACCUCAGUUACGUUUAUCUAAAUAAUGUCAAGGACAUUUGAUUUUAUUUUUACACUUUUUGGCUGUUAGAAGCAGUGCUACUAUGAAUAUCUGCCCCAGGUGUUUUGGUGCACAUGUGUAUAUAUGUCCACCUUGAAAUAGAAAUACUGUACCGUUGGGUCUGCAGAUGUUGCUUUCUGGCAAACCACUGCUAAAUGUUUUUCUAAAGGAUAUAUGUCAAUUUACCCUCCCAUCAGCUGUGUACAAGAAUUCCAUUUUUACUAUAUUCUCAUCAAUACAUGGUAUUGUCUGUAUUUUUCAUUUUAA